UAGCUUGAGUAACAAGUUCAAGACAAAGUGGAAGUUCUCUAGAGAAAACUUGAAUUUUUGUUCUUUCUUGUUCAAGAGCAUCAAUAUAUUGUUGACAUCUCUCCAUUUUGUCUGAAAAAUUGUUGUUGCUCAUCAUCUUCUUUGUAAAGAAAAAUGAAUUUUUUCUUUGAAUUUUUCCAGUUUUUGUGAGAUGAUUUAAUUGACCUAAGAAGGAAAGUAUGGAAGAAAAAUAUUUGUUAAAUUUAUUUAAAUAUUAUUAUGCAAAGGCUAUA
rnacentral:misc_RNA from 1 species